rnacentral:tRNA from 1 species
GGCCCGCUAGCUCAAUUGGCAGAGCAAGUGACUCUUAAUCACUGGGUUUAGGGUUCAAGUCCCUGGCGGGUCA